rnacentral:rRNA from 1 species
AGUUUAAAGGAAAUAAUUUUAAAUGAAUCCUGCCCAGUGAAUAAUUUUAAAUGGCCGCAGUACCUUGACUGUGCUAAGGUAGCAUAAUCAAUUGGCUUUUAAUUAGAGUCUGGAAUGAAUGGAAGAAUGAAUUAAAGCUGUCUUAAAUUUAUUUUUAUAAAAUUAUUUAUAAGGUGAAAAUACCUUAAUUUUUAGAAAAAAGACGAGAAGACCCUUAGAGUUUUUAAUAUAAAAAUAAUUAAUAAUUUUAAUUUUUUUGUUGGGGCGACAAGUAAACAUUUUAAACUUUACGUUUUUAUAUUACGAUUUUAUUAAAAUAAAUAAAACUACCUUAGGGAUAACAGCAUUAUUUAUUAAUAAGAUUGUGACCUCGAUGUUGGACUAGGAACUUUAUGGCUAGCCGACAAAAAAGAUUUGUUCUGUUCGAACAAUACUAUCCU